rnacentral:lncRNA from 10 species
CAGCAACUCCAGGGUAACAUGAACCUUUCAGCUUAUGAUCUCAAAGGGAGAAGGAGUUUUCCUCUAGCAGCAUCCAUAUUUGUCCCCUUUCCGAAGAUCUCUGAUUAGCCCUGUUUGGAUCACAUGAUCUUUCCUGGACCAAUCACUGUUUCCAGGAGCUAUAUCCCCUAUGGUAGAAGAGACAGGGGAAGCUUCUUGACAACUCUAUGGAAUCCUGACCAUUAAGGAUGGGUUAGACCCACAGCUUAUAGAGGCCUGAGGCUG